rnacentral:tRNA from 1 species
AAGAUAUUAGAAAAAUUAUUUCAUGGUUUUGUCAAAGCUAAAUUAUAGGAUAUACCCUAUAUAUCUUA